AAUACAUAUAGUAUAAUAAACUUUGCCCAUGAUGAGAAAUAAUCUAACAUAUAUAAUAUUCUGCAAGCCCAUCACCUGAGUAAGGUACUCACACCAUGCUUUGUUGUUUGUUGCACGUGCUGGAUCAUUUUUCGUGUGACCGUUGCUCAUUUCUUUCUUUAACAUCAACUUGGUUAAUGUUUCUCAUUCAACAUUCCCCUCAAGAUUAGACGUGAAUAAUCGAUGAGUCCAUUCUUGUUUAUUACAACAUUGUACCACUAUAGAGUCGUCAUCUUCAACAGGGAGAACCAGAGCUGUUCGGACUCGUGUGGUGAUGACAUAAUCCCACAGUCCUUUAUUGUGAAUGGCUGCUGUUGUCGCCUUCUUCCAAUAAAAGUAGUUAUCGCCAUUGAGCAGAAUUGGAAUGAGUUUGCCAUGUUGUUCCAUUGCAGAACUUCUGUUGGACAGUUGAGCUUCAAAGAAGUUGGACAGUUGAGCUUCAAACGACCAUUGCUUGGUGGUGGAUGGUAAUCAGAUCUCUUAUUAAUCAACGGUAACACAGAUAAUUUUGAUGGAUGGGGUAAAUGUUUUGGAUUCCACUGCAAAAUCUAUGCAUAGUUUGAGAAAGAUUCAGUAGCAGUUUUUCUUGAUUUUGCACCUUAUGUAUAAGGGUAUGUAUGUCAUUGACUAAUCUUAGGGUUUUAUGUAGAUAGAUAUGGGUAGUGAUGAAUGAGACGGCAGGCAGGAGGUUUUGCGACUCAAUUUGGCAUACGGGUAUAGUACCGGAGCCCGGUUCAAACUCUCGCUUGUUUGCCGAGACAUUUGGUUUCUCUUGUUCAUGUUUGGUUUCAGGAUAUGUUAAUGUACCUUUUCUGCUAUUUAUGCAAUCCUAAUUGGUAUUUUCGGUUUUCAGAUUUAAGACUGCAUGGCUUCCUUCGAUGGUCAAGAGUUUCGGAUGACAGAUGGCUCGUGCAUGAAGACGAUGGUCGUUGACGUUAUAUCAUCGACAAAGAUCUCUCCUUACCUUGCUCGUAUACACGAGGGUUCAAUCCUCCACAGGGGGAACCGAGCCGUCUUUUUCCGUCUCUUUUGGGAUGUCGGGUUCGUGGACACAUGCGGUGGCAAGAAGGCAAGAUGGCGUCUUUCCGCUGUCAAGCUCUGCACGAGAAACCUGUGUCUCUUUCUCGAAACCCGUUUCUGGACAACCUUAAGGAUCUGUGCCGCUUCUUUGCUUCCAAACAGGUCACUUUUGUCGGGUUGCGGAUCGAGGAAGACGUCGCGUUGCUUAAAGAAACCCAUGGUAUUGUGUUUCAUAACGCUGUUGAGUUGGGGAAGUCGCUGCUAAAAUCUGCGAAUGGCCUUUGUAUGAUUUCAUCGGGGUCAUACAAUUGGCACAGCGAAUCCUUUCGAUUGACUUGAGCCACUUGUACUCGAGUGAGUCUCUUUUGGUCCAGAGGGUUCUAGGGAUUCUCUUGAGAGUGCCGCCACUGAAGGUUGGCUUGUCUGCUGUGUCUGGGUUGAAACUCGUCUUACGGCGCUUUGGGCCUUACCCCACAACGUCUCACAGCCCAACAGACAGGAUGGAAACAUCAUCGCGGACAAUAAACUUCCGGCCCUUGCGUAACAGUCGACAACAAGACACGUAGAACAAGUACAGCAGAUCAGUUCAGGUAAAGUUCAGAUUUAAGGACAAAUCGAACCCACGACUUCGAAUAGAAAGGGUUGUUAUUUUCAACUGAGUUGGUUACUUCCCCUUGAUUUUGCACUUUCGGUAGCAGCUUUCUUGAUUUCGCCCUUUCAGUAGCAGUUGUCUCACCGGAUCCAAUGUUUCUCAAUUGGGUUGUUUUGGAUUCUCUUCAAUCUGACUGUUUUCUGGGGGGGAAAAAAAUCAAAGGGAUAAAGUUUGGGUUUUUUCGUUCUCUAGAAUCUUCGGGUUUCUGGCAUUCGUCCUCCUCCGUUUUUAUAUUCUUAUCUCGAUCUGAAGCUUGCGAAGAACAUGAACGGGAGCUUGUUCUUCGGCUUUCCUUUUGUCAUGCGGUUUUUGUAUUUAAGUCCAACAAUAUUCAUUCCUAGGGGAGUGAACUCAUCAACUGGGAGAAUGCACGUCAUUCUUGAGAAGUGCAAAAGCCACGUAGUUCCCCUCUAUAUAUAAAAGUCUGAUUCUUUUCGUCUUGAUGAAAUAUCGUAUUUGGGAUCAGAUUUCAAAUAAUCAAAGAUCUCGAACUGCAUGGCCACCUUUGAUUGGCAGUGUUUUCAGAUGGAAGAUGACUCGUGCGUGCAGACGGUUGCUGUCGACGUUGUGUCAUCAACAGAUAUCUCUCUUCACCUUUCUCGUAUAAGGGAGGAUUCGAUCCAGCAUGGAAAGCGGGUAGUCGUCUUCGAUCUGUGCUGGGAUGUCGAGUAUCAUGACGGAUACGAGAUGCCUAAAUGGCGUCUAUCCUCUGUCAAGUUCAGCACCACAAACCUUUGUCUCUUUUUCAGACUGCCGAACAUGUUUCAUGGCUUCCGUAUUGAUCUGUGCCGAUUCUUUGCUUCAAAGGUUUUCACUUUUGUUGGGGUACGGAUCAAGGAAGACCUCGCUUUGCUUAAGCAAUCUUACGGUAUUUUGAUCCGAAACGCAGUAGCUGUGGGGGAAUUAGCUGCUAAAAUGUAUAAAAAAACCUGAGCUUGAAGUCCUCGGAACCAUAGACUUGGCGCAGUGCCAUCCAUGGAGUGUUGUGAGCUUCUGGGACAAGAGACGUGCUAAGUGGUUUGAGCCGGGUUUUAGUGAUUCUCUUGAGGGUGCAGCCUUUGAAGGUUGGCUUGUCCGCUGUGUCUGGGAUAAGUUAAUCCGUGACUCGUUUGGCCGGUCUUAGUGGAUUAAGGCGGGUUCAAGCGUUCGUUUUGAAUGGGUUGUUUUGUAACGAACUGCUCAUGGAUGUGGCACUUUGUGUUUGAUCACUUCUCUGUUGUUGUUCUAUCCUUGUAGUAUCCGAGGUUUUCUUGUGGUAUGUUGGAAGACUGUUUUUGAUACACUUCAAGGUCUCUCUCGUUGUUGGUAAUUUGCCGUGUUAAGUUGUUUCUUGAAGCCAUUGUGACCAAUGGUUUUCUGGUUUACAAAAGUGAGAUUCUUGUCUGCAUCUUUCUUUCUCCCCCAUCCAAAUCUCUCCCAUUUUGCUUACCUGCUUGCAGAAUUCAAAGUUCUUUAACUUCAAGAACCUGAUAAGUCUAUGUCUGCCAAUUUGAUCUUUCUCUCAUUUUGUUGUCUUGCUGUUUUGGGGGGCUCCCUGCUUUUUCCGUAUUCUUCAUUUCAAUGGCUGUUCUCUUGUGGUUCCCUUUCUGGCUAUCAGUAGUUUCCUUUCUCAUGUCGAUUUGAUCCGUUCUCUUGCUUGAUCUGAUAUUCUCAUUGGGUUAUUUCUGAUAGUGAAUCUGGUGAGAAACCUUCUACAUGGUCAAAGGUAUGGACUUUAUGGUGAAUUUGUGAGAUUGAAUGCAGGGGUGUAGUUUUUAUGAGUUUCUGUGCGAUUGUUCACAGUUUUUUUUAAUGAACUAUGGGUGCUACCGUUUCACAGGGUACUAAAGGUUGAAUCUUUACUCUCUGCUACAGUCUGUAGAGGGAAGGCCAUUGCUUGGUAAUGGAUGCUUUUGAAGAGCUUGAGUGGUCUAAUGAUCUGAGCUUUGUCAGUGCCAUUAGAUGCUUCUACUCUAUCCAUUUAACAGUACCCGAGACAGAAGAUACAGAGAAGAUGAGACGGGACUGCGCUAAUAUUGACAGCGCCGAUGGUUUUAGGGGCUUCCAUGGGCGAUACCCGAAGAAAAAGACGUUACCUCGGGUGUUUAUGCAUCGACUUAGCUGCCUGGACUUGUCUCCUAAAGGCCGGUUGAAUCAGAUAACCGUUGUAGAUACCCUUUAGUUACGCCAACAUCUACAGGUUGAACAGAUUCUCAUUGUAUGAAAGUAUGUAGUGAUUUUUUUUGUCGUAGGAUCAUAAAAGAAGGUUUCUGCCAUAUCUUCUGUGGGAUUGAAGGUCAUACCCAUUAUCAGAUACCGAAGCACUGAUUCACAUGGCUCAAUUCUCUCCAGUUCUUGCGUUGGUUUUUUUUCAACUGUUUCUAUACACAGCUACAGAUAAAGAUUGUUUCUUGGAAGAGGGUCAAUCUCUUGCUCAUUGUUCUUAGAAACCAGUUGUGGGCAAACCCAGUUCAGUUUGAU